rnacentral:rRNA from 1 species
GAUGAACGCUGGCGGCGUGCCUAAUACAUGCAAGUCGAGCGAACAGACGAUGAGCUUGCUCCUCUGAUGUUAGCGGCGGACGGGUGAGUAACACGUGGAUAACCUACCUAUAAGACUGGUAUAACUUCGGGAAACCGGAGCUAAUACCGUAUAACAUGUUGAACCGCAUGGUUCAACAGUGAAAGACGGUCUUGCUGGCACUUGUAGAUGGAUCCGCGCCGUAUUAGCUUGUUGUGGAGGUAACGGCUUUCCAAGGCAACGACGGGUAGCCGGCCGGAGAGGGUGACCGGCCACAUUGGGACAGAGAUACGGCCCAGACUCCUACGGGAGGCAGCAGUGUGGAAUAUUGCACAAUGGGCGGAAGCCUGAUGCAGCAACGCCGCGUGCGGGAUGACGGCCUUCGGGUUGUAAACCGCUUUCGCCUGUGACGAAGCGUGAGGGACGGUAAUGGGUAAAGAAGCACCGGCUAACUACGUG